rnacentral:lncRNA from 1 species
GGCUGAUCUGUUUCCUAUGUAGGAUCAGGUGAGGAUUUGCCUUUUAUAGCAGAAUUGCCAAGGUAAAGGACAGCGUGUCCUUUUUCAUCUUCUCCCCUUAUGUCCUCACACUGUUACUUUCAAGCCUGAAACAUAGUGUUGCCUGUUUAGCAUAGAUCACCCAGAAUGCACGCGUUCUUUGACAGGUAUUUCUGUGAUUCCAGGUUUACCAUGGUAGCAAUGGACACCACAGAUGUGUGUGUUGAGUGAGCCCUUACUUGCCUGGAUGACACAGUGAGGAAGACCUCAGGGCUCUCUACAGUAGAAGUAGAGAUAAGCACUGAGCAAGAGUCUGGGCAGGACUGAAUUGGGACCUGAGGGAUCUGCCAAGCUGGAAGCUGAUACCUGCUAAAUCGCCGAACUGCCAGAUAGAGCUGUUACAACACUACACCUGCAGAAAGGCCACUCCUUGGGAAUCAGUCCAACAGAGGGAGAGUAAGCUACAAGAACACAGAAGGAAAAAGACCUAAAGAAUGAAGAGAAAAGAUCUGGUGAGUAAUCCUAAAUAUCUGUAGAAGUAGAGUAGUCACUUCUCCCUGUUGUCAAAGCUAGUCAGUAUUUGCAAGAGUUAGUUAUCCCUCUUUGUUCUCUGACACUGUUCAGUGACUGCCCUGGCAUCCCCAAAGCUUCCCCUGCAUUUCAUGCAAGAUCAAAGUGAAUCUGUGUAAGAAAUUAAACUGGGGUUUUGCAAGAUUAGUCUAAUUCUCCUCCUGUUGAAACAAACCUCUCCCUCCCCAAUCCCUCACACCUCAGAGAGCCAGCCUACUUCUAAUUCAUCAGCUGUCCUGUUCAUGGCUGUCUGAAUUGUUAGUUCUUCAUUCUGCAUCCCUUGUUGCCACUUAAGCAGCGAAGGAAUAUAAAUCUCACUAAGGGAAAAGGUGGGGGUAUGAGAACAGUACUGGAAGAAAGAAGUUCAGGGUGUAAGUUCCUAGCAGUCAUGCACUUGAGUUUGUCCUGAAUGACUGUCCCGUAUAGUGUUUGUAGGGCCUGGCACUGU